UACGGGGGGGGCAAGCGUUGUUCGGAAUUACUGGGCGUAAAGGGCUCGUGGGCGGCCAACUAAGUCAUACGUGAAAUCCCUCGGCUUAACCGGGGAACUGCGUCUGAUACUGGAUGGCUUGAGAUUGGGAGAGGGAUGCGGAAUUCCAGGUGUAGCGGUGAAAUGCGUAGAUAUCUGGAGGAACACCGGUGGCGAAGGCGGCAUCCUGGACCAACACUGACGCUGAGGAGCGAAAGCCAGGGGAGCAAACGGG
rnacentral:rRNA from 1 species